CAUGAAGUCGGAAUUGCUAGUAAUGGCAGGUCAGCAUACUGCCGUGAAUACGUUCCCGGGCCUUGUACACACCGCCCGUCACACCAUGAGAGUUGGAGAUACCCGAAGCCUGUGAGCUAACAGAAAUGGAGCAGCAGUCGAAGGUAGAAUCAAUGAUUGGGGUGAAGUCGUAACAAGGUAUC
rnacentral:rRNA from 1 species